rnacentral:rRNA from 1 species
UGCAGUCGAGCGGCAGCACAAGGGAGUUUACUCCUGAGGUGGCGAGCGGCGGACGGGUGAGUAAUGCCUAGGGAUCUGCCCAGUCGAGGGGGAUAACAGUUGGAAACGACUGCUAAUACCGCAUACGCCCUACGGGGGAAAGAGGGGGACCUUCGGGCCUCUCGCGAUUGGAUGAACCUAGGUGGGAUUAGCUAGUUGGUGAGGUAAUGGCUCACCAAGGCGACGAUCCCUAGCUGUUCUGAGAGGAUGAUCAGCCACACUGGGACUGAGACACGGCCCAGACUCCUACGGGAGGCAGCAGUGGGGAAUAUUGCACAAUGGGGGAAACCCUGAUGCAGCCAUGCCGCGUGUGUGAAGAAGGCCUUCGGGUUGUAAAGCACUUUCAGUAGGGAGGAAAGGGUGAGUCUUAAUACGGCUCAUCUGUGACGUUACCUACAGAAGAAGGACCGGCUAACUCCGUGCCAGCAGCCGCGGUAAUACGGAGGGUCCGAGCGUUAAUCGGAAUUACUGGGCGUAAAGCGUGCGCAGGCGGUUUGUUAAGCGAGAUGUGAAAGCCCUGGGCUCAACCUAGGAAUAGCAUUUCGAACUGGCGAACUAGAG